AUCGAGACUUAGAACCAUGUUUUUCUUGAAACCUAUCCUUGAACUUAAGGAUGUGAGAUGAGUGGAGAGUUAUAUAGAGUUGAGUAAGGAGAUAGAGUAUGAGAUAGAGCAUGAGUUAAGGCUUGAGAGUUAGCCAAUGAGUUUCUAAUCGAGAUUCAUUUUAUGACAUGAACCUUCGAUGAUGAUGAUGAUCCCUGAAGACACGAGAAGAGCAAGGAAGUAAGUAACUCCACUUUGACGGGAGAUUUUGAGUAAGGUCUUCAGGAUAAGCGGAGGGGGAGUAUGGUGCGGUGCUGGUGGAGAAUGUUUCGGGUUGACGUUUUCUUUCUCUAUCGUAUGUCUGUUUUGUCGAUAGAGUUUUGAUAUGAAGUUAUGUUAAAUAGAGUUUGAUGUUUAAGAUACUUAAUUUCCUUUGAAAAUCAAGCAAUACACUCACGGUUAUAUGUCUUCAUACAUAUAAUCGAUUCGCCUUUUGCUGCGAUACUCUGCAUAUUAUUCUUCAUUAUGAAAAAUGAGCUAUACCCGUUUUGUUUUUGUU